rnacentral:rRNA from 1 species
CGGUGGAUGCCUUGGCACUAGAAGCCGAUGAAGGACGUUACUAACGACGAUAUGCUUUGGGGAGCUGUAAGUAAGCUUUGAUCCAGAGAUUUCCGAAUGGGGAAACCCAGCAUGAGUUAUGUCAUGUUAUCGAUAUGUGAAUACAUAGCAUAUCAGAAGGCACACCCGGAGAACUGAAACAUCUUAGUACCCGGAGGAAGAGAAAGAAAAUUCGAUUCCCUUAGUAGCGGCGAGCGAAACGGGAAGAGCCCAAACCAACAAGCUUGCUUGUUGGGGUUGUAGGACACUCUAUACGGAGUUACAAAGGACGACAUUAGACGAAUCAUCUGGAAAGAUGAAUCAAAGAAGGUAAUAAUCCUGUAGUCGAAAAUGUUGUCUCUCUUGAGUGGAUCCUGAGUACGACGGAGCACGUGAAAUUCCGUCGGAAUCUGGGAGGACCAUCUCCUAAGGCUAAAUACUCUCUAGUGACCGAUAGUGAACCAGUACCGUGAGGGAAAGGUGAAAAGCACCCCGGAAGGGGAGUGAAAUAGAACCUGAAACCGUGUGCUUACAAGUAGUCAGAGCCCGUUAAUGGGUGAUGGCGUGCCUUUUGUAGAAUGAACCGGCGAGUUACGAUUUGAUGCAAGGUUAAGCAGUAAAUGUGGAGCCGUAGCGAAAGCGAGUCUGAAUAGGGCGUUUAGUAUUUGGUCGUAGACCCGAAACCAGGUGAUCUACCCUUGGUCAGGUUGAAGUUCAGGUAACACUGAAUGGAGGACCGAACCGACUUACGUUGAAAAGUGAGCGGAUGAACUGAGGGUAGCGGAGAAAUUCCAAUCGAACCUGGAGAUAGCUGGUUCUCUCCGAAAUAGCUUUAGGGCUAGCCUCAAGUGAUGAUUAUUGGAGGUAGAGCACUGUUUGGACGAGGGGCCCCUCUCGGGUUACCGAAUUCAGACAAACUCCGAAUGCCAAUUAAUUUAACUUGGGAGUCAGAACAUGGGUGAUAAGGUCCGUGUUCGAAAGGGAAACAGCCCAGACCACCAGCUAAGGUCCCAAAAUAUAUGUUAAGUGGAAAAGGAUGUGGCGUUGCCCAGACAACUAGGAUGUUGGCUUAGAAGCAGCCAUCAUUUAAAGAGUGCGUAAUAGCUCACUAGUCGAGUGACACUGCGCCGAAAAUGUACCGGGGCUAAACAUAUUACCGAAGCUGUGGAUUGUCCUUUGGACAAUGGUAGGAGAGCGUUCUAAGGGCGUUGAAGCAUGAUCGUAAGGACAUGUGGAGCGCUUAGAAGUGAGAAUGCCGGUGUGAGUAGCGAAAGACGGGUGAGAAUCCCGUCCACCGAUUGACUAAGGUUUCCAGAGGAAGGCUCGUCCGCUCUGGGUUAGUCGGGUCCUAAGCUGAGGCCGACAGGCGUAGGCGAUGGAUAACAGGUUGAUAUUCCUGUACCACCUAUAAUCGUUUUAAUCGAUGGGGGGACGCAGUAGGAUAGGCGAAGCGUGCGAUUGGAUUGCACGUCUAAGCAGUAAGGCUGAGUAUUAGGCAAAUCCGGUACUCGUUAAGGCUGAGCUGUGAUGGGGAGAAGACAUUG